GAUUUCUCUUGCUUCAGGUCCUCAUUGCUUUGGCUAUGGCCAGAGGCAGCAGAGAAAGGAAUGAACGAAGAACAGAAAGGACUGCUUUGGUGAUCCACCCUCUACCCUUGCCCCACAACCACAGAACUGUGGCACUGGAAGGAACCCCAGGAAUCAAAAGUCACAGGAAGAGGAAGACAGAGCUCUUACGAGGGGGAGGCAGAGAAGGCACAGCAAAGGACAUGCCCUCAGAAUGCCACCAAUUUCCCAGUACAGGCCCACCCAUGGGACCAGGUUAUCAGGGACCCUGUGGGGAUGGGGUGGAAUCUGGGGAGGGGGGUGAGCCUUCUUUCCCAGGCUGGGAGUAGGUGAGACGAGACUGAGGCCUCUACAUUUGAGUGCCCCCCAAACCCAGCAGUCAUGAUGUGAGCAAACAAAAAAAUCACGUUACUUCUUCCAA